CUAAAUGUUUAUUAUAUGCAUGUUUGAGAAUAUACAUACAACAUACAUAUGUAUAUACAGAAAUAAAUAUUUAUUGUUUCCAAGAACGGACUUUUACCGCUCACAAAAUACAAAGGCUGCAAAGUCAUAUCUCUUACACUCAAAAAAGCUACACUCGGUAACUUAAUGAUUUGGCAAGAUUUUGGAAAAAAGUAUGACAGCUCAAUGGAAAUAUGUACCUUCGUGGGAAAACCCUGCCCAAGGACCGCUUAAAGGACCGUUUACUUCUCAGCAGUUAGCCAGAAAUGACCUUUGGUGGUUCGCUUCCGAAUGGCUAUGUGAAGACGAGAAUCUUUGGCCUACUCCCAACCCCCUGAACAGAAUCAAGAAGAAAGAAGACAAUCAAAAGUAGUAGAAAGUAGAAGAAAGUAGAUUUAAAAAUCUAGUAGAUAAAUCUGGAGAUCAGCCGGAGCCAGCAAAAAAAUCGUUAUCCCAGCACAGUCCGAACAGAGCGCUUUGCCCAUUUUUAGACGACUUUGGGAUUAUGCGAAUCAAAGGGCUACUAAUGAACGCCCAACAACUGUCCCAAGCAGAGAAAUACCCGACAACUGAACAUCCUUCAUGGAGGCACCGAGGUUUGCCGCUGCACCGCUACAACCUUCCUGGACGAGCCUUUGAAGCCACUGGUGUCGACUACGCCCGUGUAGUGGGGGCAUGCGCACUUGUAAAUUUAAAAAAAUCGAAUUUUUUUUUUUGCAUUUUGUUAAAGUAUAUACAUUUAGAAAUGUGUCCACAAAAUUUUGAAAUGAUCCGGUGAAAAUUCAGUGAGAUACACAUGUUGAAAGGGAGGGGCGUCCGGUAAGCGUAAUGACUAUCCAGUUUUUCACAGUGUUGGUCACCGCAACUCGCCUUUUUCGGAUGGACCUCACUUCGACGGGGCAUAACUUUGAAACCCCUAAAUAUUUUCUACUUUUUUUUUUCAAAUUUAAGUUAAAAUAAUGUACUUUCACAUAAUAAAACGAUAUUUCAAAAAAAUUCAAUAGUUUACG